rnacentral:rRNA from 1 species
UACGUAGGGGCAAGCGUUGUCCGGAAUCAUUGGGCGUAAAGAGCGUGUAGGCGGCCGGUAAGUCCGCUGUGAAAGUCCAGGGCUCAACCCUGGGAUGCCGGUGGAUACUGUCGGGCUCGAGUCCGGAAGAGGAGUGUGGAAUUCCUGGUGUAGCGGUGAAAUGCGCAGAUAUCAGGAGGAACACCAAUGGCGAAGGCAGCACUCUGGGACGUGACUGACGCUGAGACGCGAAGCGUGGGAGCAAACAGG